rnacentral:rRNA from 1 species
GCCCCAGGGAGGUGGGCAACUACCCCCCCAGGGCCGGAAAGCUCUCCAAACUCGGUCAUUUAGAGGAAGUAAAAGUCGUAACAAGGUCUCCGUUGGUGAACCAGCGGAGGGAUCAUUA